rnacentral:rRNA from 1 species
UGUGCAUGGUUGUCGUCAGCUCGUGUCGUGAGAUGUUGGGUUAAGUCCCGCAACGAGCGCAACCCUCCGUCCUAUGUUGCCAGCGGGUCAUGCCGGGGACUCAUGGGAGACUGCCGGGGGUCAAACUCGGAGGAAGUGGGGAUGACGUCAAAUCAUCAUGCCCCUUAUGUCUUGGGCUUCACGCAUGCUACAAAUGGCCGGUACAAAGGGCUGCGAUACCGCGAGGUGGAGCGAAUCCCAGAAAGCCGGUCUCAGUUCGGAUUGGGGUCUGCAACUCGACCCCAUGAAGUCGGAGUCGCUAGUAAUCGCAGAUCAGCAACGCUGCGGUGAAUACGUUCCCGGGCCUU